rnacentral:rRNA from 1 species
AGAGUUUGAUCAUGGCUCAGAAUGAACGCUGGCGGCGCGCCUAAUACAUGCAAGUCGAGCGAGAAGACGUAGCAAUACGUUUGUAAAGCGGCGAACGGGUGAGGAAUACAUGGGUAACCUACCCUUGAGUGGGGAAUAACUAGCCGAAAGGUUAGCUAAUACCGCGUACGCUCCUUGGACUUCGGUUCAGGGAGGAAAGCGCUACCGUGGGUAGCGCGCUCUUGGAUGGGCUCAUGUCCUAUCAGCUUGUUGGUGAGGUAACGGCUCACCAAGGCUUCGACGGGUAGCUGGUCUGAGAGGACGAUCAGCCACACUGGCACUGCGACACGGGCCAGACUCCUACGGGAGGCAGCAGUAAGGAAUAUUGCGCAAUGGGCGAAAGCCUGACGCAGCGACGCCGCGUGGGGGAUGAAGGUCUUCGGAUUGUAAACCCCUUUCGGGAGGGAAGAUGGAGUGGGGUAACCCAUUCGGACGU